ensembl:snRNA U7 U7 small nuclear RNA
AAGUUUUGCUCUUUUAGAUUUUUCCAGCAGGUUUCCCAUAAUGGGGAACCCCU